GAUGAACGCUGGCGGCGUGCUUAACACAUGCAAGUCGAGCGAAGCGCUUAAGUUUGAUUCUUCGGAUGAAGACUUUUGUGACUGAGCGGCGGACGGGUGAGUAACGCGUGGGUAACCUGCCUCAUACAGGGGGAUAACAGUUAGAAAUGACUGCUAAUACCGCAUAAGACCACGGUACCGCAUGGUACAGUGGUAAAAACUCCGGUGGUAUGAGAUGGACCCGCGUCUGAUUAGGUAGUUGGUGGGGUAACGGCCUACCAAGCCGACGAUCAGUAGCCGACCUGAGAGGGUGACCGGCCACAUUGGGACUGAGACACGGCCCAGACUCCUACGGGAGGCAGCAGUGGGGAAUAUUGCACAAUGGAGGAAACUCUGAUGCAGCGACGCCGCGUGAAGGAUGAAGUAUUUCGGUAUGUAAACUUCUAUCAGCAGGGAAGAAAAUGACGG
rnacentral:rRNA from 1 species